AAUGAGAUAAUGUCUGUAAAUUUCUCAGCACAGUUCUUAGCAAAAAUGAGGUCUCAAUGAAUGCUAAUUCUUAUUUUCCCAGCUGGGUGUAUGUGCAUGUACACACACACACCCACACACACAUGUAUCACAAUCCUACCAUCAAACCGUAAGUUAAUAAAGUUAUAGGAAUUUUCCAGUUAACUGAAGAUCAAUCUCAGAUUUACUUAAAAAAUUAUAUGAAUUAUUCUAGAUUACAAUAGCCCACUUCUCUGCUUAAGGAUGCCAAGCCUGACUGACAAAUAAUUUCUUCUUUGAACAUUUAGGACUAUUUUAGUGAGUCAUGGUUUCUAUCUUUGACAUAGUCAUAGUACCAGGAGGUUCAAAUAUAAAAAUUCAGGCUGUGUUCAAAGGUGAGUGGUUUAUUUUAUUAAUCCAAGUUGUUAAUUUAUUUUUAACAAUAUGUCUCUUAUCUUUCACAAAGGAAAGCCAAAAGAAAUUUAGUAAAAGUCCUGGCCAGUUUAGAUGAAAUAAUGCUUUAUUGUAGUUCUGAGUAUUUUUCACCAUGAGACUGUGCUCUUGUAUAUGUGUUCAUUUGAAUCAUGUUCAAACUUAAGAAAAAUUAUGCAAAUUAUGCUUUGAUCAAUGGAGUCAUCUUUAUGGAUUCACAGGUAUCUAUCUAUCUAUCUACCUAUUGCUUUUUAGGGCCAUGCCCAUGGCAUAUGGAGAUUUCCAGGCUAGGCGUCCAUUUGGAGCUAACAUCUACACCACAGCCACAGUGGCACAGGAACCAAGCUGUGUCUUCAACCGACACCACAGCUCAGAGCAACGCCAGAUCUUAACUCACUGAACAAGGCCAGGGGUUGAACCCAUAUCCUCAUGGAUCCUAGUCAUGUUCGUUAACCACUGAGCCACAACGGGAACUCUGUGGUAUCAAUAUUUUAAAUUUCCCCUUCAAGGCGAUUGGAAACAUCCUUUGAGAACAAAGUGUCCCAUUACCUGAAUGGCUAUGUUGAGACACUCAGGAAAUGAGUGGGAGGGUGGGCAGGAUAAGCCGUAAGAGAGAGAAAGCAGCCUGUGCAGGAACCUGAGGUAUGACAUGCAUGGCAGAUCCAAGAAAUGAGUGAAGAAUAUUCUAGAAGAUUCAAAAAGUAGAAUGGAGCAUAUUCGGCAGGGAGGCUGGAGAGAUAUAGAGGCUCAGGUCUGUAUCUUUGUUGAGACUUGAUUCCUCAAGUUGAUCCUGAAUAGUGUAAGUAUCAAGAAGCCUUUUUGAUUAUAAUGCAAAUGCCUGACAUUAAGCCUUUGAUUACCAAGGCAUCUAUUUCAAAGACACCCACCAUAAUAAACAUAUCGCCAGCCCUAUGACAUAGCUACUAGGUAAACAACUGUUUAAGGAACCAGGCUGCGUACUCAUGGAGUCCCAUUCUAAAAAGCCCUGGGUUUCCUAGAUAACUGAUUGCUUGAGUACCGCAUUUUGUCUUCCUGCACUUUAAUUUCUGCUCUUAUGUAUUAUUGUAUUUUUUAAUUUUAAUUGUAAUUUUAUUUUAUUUUAUUUUUUGUGUCUUUUAAGGGCUGCACUCUCAGCAAAAGGAAGUUCCCAGGUUAGGGGUCCAGUCGGAGCUGCAGCUGCCAGCCUAUACCACAGCCACAGCAACAUAGCAUCCAAGCCAUGUCUGCAACCUACACCACAGCUCAUGGCAAUGCUGGAUCCUUAACCCACUGAGCAAGUCAAGGGACCGAACCCAUGUCCUCAUGAAUACCAGUUGGGUUCGUUACCAUUGAGCCACGAUGGGAUCUCCUUGCUCUUAUGUUUUAAAUUCUCCAAUAAAGAAUGAACCCAUAAACACUAGGCAUGCCACCCUCAGCCCCAAUAAAAUCAGAGCCCAUGGUACCGACUCUCUCUCCACCCAUAACCUUGCCAUGUAGCCCUCAUGCCUGCUGUAUACCCUCAGUAAGUUAUAAACAUUUUUUUCUUCAAAAUUCCCUUAUGGUUGUUGCUGAGGCAUAUCUUGCAAUUGUGACAAGACCCACAGGGGCCAGUCCAGCCACAGCAUUGGCUCUGGUUGGGGGAAGAUCUGUGGGGGUCUCAUCACAAGUAGUACACACCUAGCCUCAGGUAUUCCUAGCCAAUAGCAUCACCAUCAAUAGGCCAAGACCUACAUGAAACGUGUAUAAUAAACAUCCACUCAUUCUCAACCUGUUUUGACUUCAUGGUAAGGGUCAGCUAUUUCCACAAUAAUUCUGUGUAAUGAAACAUCCUAAUACUUGGUUUUAACACAAUUAUUUAUUCUCUCUUACACAUCUGGAAACUGGCUGGGAACUGGCUGAUCUAGGCUGGGCUUGGCUUUAAGCAGCAGGUUGGGGCCAGAUUUACAUCCAUAAGUCUCUCAUCUCACUGGACCAGUGGGCUACCUGGGGUAGCUUCCCUCAUGACCCAGGCAUGAAUGCAGUGGGUAAGCAUAAGUACACAAGCACGUUUGAGCCUCUGCAUGAAGCGUGUUGCCAGUGUCUCACUGGACCAAAGUCACAAGGCUGGGGAGUGCACUCUGUUCAUAGUAGGAGGAAAUACAGGUUUUAGGAGCUAAAUGGUUGGGAGAAGUUUGGGCUAAAAAGUUAACCUGCCAGAUCCAAGAUGUUUUCAUAAUCACCUUAUGCUGCCCUGGUCAUCCAGUAUCACCUGUGCUGUUUUCCUGCUAUGGGGUUCACAAGAUCUUUGUUCACCCUGAUAUGUCAUCUGGCCCUUAUUCCCUUAUGUUCCUUGAGUUAUUCCCCAAAAGAAAGAAUAAGCACAGUUAUUCCUAUACAUUUACUAAGGGAAGACUUCUGGAGAAUUGUUUUUGUUUUUCUUAAGUUUUCAUCUGGAUGUUUGACACUGUGUCAAAAGUUUUACUCUGAGGAGUUUAUUUAGUGUGUUACUUCCUCUCCACAUUAUAGUAAUAUACUGGAGUUUCACAAAGAUGCCACCCCUGGGGAUGCUUGUCGGGAACCAUGUCACAGGGAAGGUGGAUAAAAUAAGUUGCCUUCUGAUGCUCAUUCAUAGAAUAAAUUCCAUCAUAAACCUAAACGAGUUGGCCCACUUUAGAAAUAAACUCAUGCCUUGUUUUGUCACAUUACACUGAAAUUCUAAUAUGCAGGAGAUCCUUGGUGUCCUUGGGUUUAACAACCACAUUUUCUACUGUUUGGAGUGACCCUUCGGUCAUGGCAUGCAAUCCUAUUUCAUUUUUGUUGACAUAUCUGUUUGAAUGCCAUGUGUCCCCACCUGGGUACCACAGUUUUGUUCUCUAAUUGUUGUUGCAUGUGCCUUUCUUAAGCAAAAGUCACUUUAAUAGAAGUGUUUGCAAAUUUGGAAGUUUUCCAAGUAUCUUGAGCUAUAACCUGUGUGAAUGUUGAGAGUCUUUCUGUUUCCUCUUUGAGAAGGAGAGUAGCCAAUGAAAUCACGGUACAAUACAUUAAAUAAAAUGAAGCAAAAAUACCUCAGAGCACCUAUAGCAUGUAUUUAGUGAAAAAAAAAAUAUAUAAGGAUAGAUAGAUAGAUAUAAUGUAUAUAUUAAGUAUUUUACACACUUUUUGUUCCUUCACUGAUUUUUCUGCAUCAGUGAAGCACACACAGAGUGAACAUAUGAAAGUAAAAUAAUAAGGAGCAUAAAGGUUAGAAAGGGUGAUGCUACAUUUUCAUUAUCUGCUAAUUAUAUUAAUGC
rnacentral:lncRNA from 1 species